UGAAUUCUUGGGCAAGCAUCCACGAUCCGUGGGCCAGAAGUCCAUACCCCGGGUAUUUUUCCCAAAUCAACUCUGUCAAAACCCUAAUAAACCGUUUCUCGUGGUGGGUCGCAAUUCCAUUUGUAUCCAUCCGAGUCAGGGUACAUUCAUCGGACCCGUUCUUCCUUCAGUUUUAGCAGUGGCUUCCAUACCGAAUCUAGCUGAUUGGAUGCUCAUUUGGCCUUUUCUCUGGCUCCCCUUUGGUGAUCAAAUAAGAAUCGCUUAUUACACUAGCGUGUUUUUUUAUAAAGGAGAUAGACUAGUGUUAUUCUACAAGGAGAUUACACAGGCAAAUAUGGACUUCUUAGUUUCCUGGUUGGGCAAUAUGCAAAACAGGAGAUCAUGGAUAUGGUAUAAAAAUAGGUAAUUUGGAUAAGAGUAUCUAGAAGCAGAGGUAUUGCUUUUAAAGUACACAAAUAUUCAGCUGAUAACAAUCAAAUGGCCCCUCAAGGUAUGAGUAGUGUGUGCUCAUUUCCUAUACAAAGACCUUGAGGACAUGCAACAAGUGGGCAGUAAGACUGGCAGGGCUCUUGGUCAAAUGUCUCUCCAACUCCUUUACGCCAAGUAUUAUCAUAUUGAUGGUAAUUUGUGACCCCUCAGUGGUCGUAAUUAUUUACAUUAGGGUGUAAAAGGUACUCUAUUGAUCUAUUUUCUCGUGAAUUUGUAUUCCUGAUGUUUGGCACUUUUAGGAUAAUGGUAGCUGGUCGGUUCCAUUCAUUACUAUUGUAAUUCUCAAUGACUAUUGACUUAGCUUGUACGGUCACACUUAUUAGGCACUUGUAUGAGAGAGAUUAAUUCAACAAUAAUCCAUAUAGAAGGCUGCUAUAAUCUGUCAAUCUUAAACAAGGAUUGGGAGAAUCACAUUUCUAGAGAUCACACACUUUAUAUUGGUAUCAAAAAGAGUAAAGGAAAGAUGUAGAAAUGGUAGUUUAUUAAUUCAGCAAUGUGUAUGCAGUUAUAAAGAAGGGAGGUAUGAUAGGAUUUGCAUGCGGUUUUGUCCCACAUCGUCUCCAAAGCAAAAAACCGUUCUUUUGUUAAUCUAUUUAGCGGUCUCUACUUAUGAACUUCAACACAGCUAUUGGGCCCGCCUAAGUGCGGGCCCUUGAUGGCUCACAUUACCUUGUUGGAAGGUCCUUCCAAUAAGUUGCAGUAUGCUGCAAAUCUUGUCUGCGCGUUUGCUGGAAAGUAGGGAUCCAGGUUCUUGGCUGUCAGCACCCCUCCCCAUCUGCGAUCCAAGCAAUUAAACACACCUUUCUUGGUGCUAUCCCACCUGUGACUCAAGCAAUCAAACAAACUCUUCUUCUUGCUGCCUGUGUUUCAAAUCCAGGCUAUUAAACAACCUCUGUUGGUGCUCAAGGUAUCCCAUCUGUGAAUCGAGCAAUUAAACACACCUUUCUUGGUGCUAUCCCACCUGUGAUUCAAGCAAUCAAACAAACCUUCUUGGUGCUGCCCGAGUGACAAAUCCAAGCUAUUAAACAACCUUUCUUGGUGCUCAAGCUAUUUGGCCCGCCUAAGUGCGGGCCCUUGAUGGCUCGCAUGACCUUGUAGGGAGGUCCUUCCAGUGAGUUGCAGUAUGCUGCAAAUCUUGUCCGCGUGUUUGCUGGCACGUAGGGAUCCAGCUGUCAGCACUGGACCCGAGCUGCGAUCAAGUUAAUAAUCACACCUUUCUUAGUGCCCAAGGUAUUUAAACCAAUAAAUUGGGAUCACACAUUCAAAUCAAGAUAGAAUUUUCUGUAUCAUGCAUUUUCAAAGGUUGGAACUUGGAAGCAGAAGUUUGGAUAAGAAGUAGUCCACAUUCUCAACUGUGCAUGUGCACAUGAAGCACCAAGUAACAGCAGUAUAUGCAAUCCUCCGGCGUUCUCAUGUUCUCGGCUCUUAGCGCUGGACCCAAGCUGAUAACCAUAUCUUUCUUGGUGCUCAGUUGGAUCAUACAACUCGUGGCAUAAAUCAGAGGACUUAUUCCUGGAACGUGGUCAGUAAUACUGGGUGUCCCUUAUACAGCAGCAACAUAAAACCUUGGUCAGAAACCAGUAUUAGGCUGAAUGGUCAAUUAUCCAGGCUGUGGUGCAAACUUGCUUCAGCAAGAUUCCGAUGGAUGAACUUACGAUAGUUCCGCAGUUGCAGAAACUAUAGAAAUUAAGAUGACAGUACACUGUUUGUUUGUCUGUUGAAAUUUGUCUUGUAAUAGAGUCCAACUUGAUUGAAAACCUGAGACUGGCGGAGUCUCCUGUCAAUGACUUCAAGGUCUGUUUUGGAGUCGAAAAGUCCAAUGAUCUUCGAUUUUACAAAUAAACAACUAUGCCCCUUUUCCGAGCAAGUUGAGUUAAUUAUAUGAAUCUUCUUUGCA